UGUGACCUCAAAUCAGGUAGGACUACCCGCUGAACUUAAGCAUAUCAAUAAGCGGAGGAAAAGAAACUAACAAGGAUUCCCCUAGUAACUGCGAGUGAAGCGGGAAAAGCUCAAAUUUAAAAUCUGGCAGUCUCCGGCUGUCCGAGUUGUAAUCUAGAGAAGUGUUAUCCGCGUUGGACCGUGUACAAGUCUCCUGGAAUGGAGCAUCAUAGAGGGUGAGAAUCCCGUCUUUGACACGGACUGCCAGGGCUUUGUGAUGCGCUCUCGAAGAGUCGAGUUGUUUGGGAAUGCAGCUCAAAAUGGGUGGUAAAUUCCAUCUAAAGCUAAAUAUUGGCGAGAGACCGAUAGCGAACAAGUACCGUGAGGGAAAGAUGAAAAGAACUUUGGAAAGAGAGUUAAACAGUACGUGAAAUUGCUGAAAGGGAAACGCUUGAAGUCAGUCGCGUUGGCCAGGGAUCAACCUUGCUUUUGCUUGGUGUACUUUCUGGUUGACGGGUCAGCAUCAAUUUUGACCAUUGGAAAAAGGUCAAGGGAAUGUGGCAUCUUCGGAUGUGUUAUAGCCCUUGGUUGCAUACAGUGGUUGGGAUUGAGGAACUCA
rnacentral:rRNA from 2 species